UGUGUGUGUGAUGUAUAUUGUGUGUGUGUGUGAUGUAUAUUGUGUGUGUGUGAUGUAUAUUGUGUGUGUGAUGGAGCUGUGGCUGAUGUUUCAGCUUGACCUCGUUUCAUGUUGUUGUUGUUGUUGUUGUUGUUGUUGUUGUUGUUGUUGUUGUUGUUGACCCCUUUCCUGUAAUGCAUGUCUGGAUUGUUUCCUGGUCGACUCCACGCUCUCUGAGCCCAUUUGUAUUCGUUACACACUCCUCACACUCUAAGCAGGAGGACAGCGUCCUCACUUCAGAGCUUGACGUCUCUAUCUGUCUGAAGCUGGUGCACUUGGCAGCGAGCCUUCAGCCGUUUGGAACCGGAGCCUUGAUUUCCUGCCAGAACUCAUUUCCUCUGAGUCGAGUAUUGAGUGUCUUAAACAAGGUUCUUUAACCUUGAGCCGGUCUGUAGGUUUCUCCUGGACACAUGAUCUCCUGAAGGCCUGCGUCAGGCUGCUGCUGUACACUCUGCUUUCCGUGCUGUGAUGACCAACAGGAAGUAAACAGGAAGUAGAUGAUUUGACAAGGAGAAGGUCCUCGCACACCGAGGCAGCUUAGAACCGGCUCCAUGCGGAUCUCCAUACUGAGCUGGUGGCUCAUGAUGUUCUGAUGCUCGCAGUCUGACAGAUGACCACAGACACUCAUGACAAAUCCAAACUUUCAUCCAAUGAUCGAUCCUGUGGAGCUCGUAGUCUUCAAAAAGAUGUGUGGUCUCAUCUUCUCCUGUUCUGUACGAGCUCUCGCUGAAUAAAAUGAGAGAGAUAUAUCUCAGGAGGUGAA